GGUGUGCCUGGAUCAACAAUGGGUGAUGGUGGAGUCACAACAACCGGAGUUCUUGGUGGAGGAGAUGAGUAAUAUCCACCAGAAGGAGGGUGUGAUGGCGUUGGGUGCGAAGGAGUGGAAGGGUGUGAAGGCGUGGAAGGGUGGGAAGGUGGACUUCCACAGUUACAAGGAGGGGUGUGUGGAGUUGGCGUGUGUGAUGGAGUGUGUGGAGUUGGAGUGUGUGAUGGAGUGGAAGGAGUUGGAGUAUGUGAUGGAGGUGAAGGGUGAGAAGGAGUUGAAGGAGAAGGGUCGUAAGGUGGACUUCCACAGUUAGAAGAAGGAGGCGUGUGUGAUGGAGGAGUUCCAUGUGAGCCU
rnacentral:lncRNA from 1 species